rnacentral:rRNA from 1 species
GGGUGCGAUCAUACCAUCAUUAAUGAAUCGGAUCCCAUUAGAACUCUGCAGUUAAGCGCACUUGGGCUAGAGUAGUACUGGGAUGGGUGACCUCCCCGUAAGUCCUAGUGUUGCACCCU